UACGAAGGGGACUAGCGUUGUUCGGAAUCACUGGGCGUAAAGCGCACGUAGGCGGAUUUGUAAGUCAGGGGUGAAAUCCCGGGGCUCAACCUCGGAACUGCCUUUUGAUACUGCGAAUCUUGAGUCCGAUAGAGGUGGGUGGAAUUCCUAGUGUAGAGGUGAAAAUUCGUAGAUAUUAGGAAGAACACCAGUGGCGAAGGCGGCCCACUGGAUCGGUACUGACGCUGAGGUGCGAAAAGCGUGGGGGAGCAAACAGG
rnacentral:rRNA from 1 species